rnacentral:tRNA from 1 species
AGUUCCGUGGUGUAGGGCACAUCAGAUUGCAAGUCUGAAAGUGCAGGAUAAUUCCCUGCCGGGGCUU